rnacentral:rRNA from 1 species
AACUUUCAACAAUGGAUCUCUUGGCUCUGGCAUCGAUGAAGAACGCAGCGAAAUGCGAUAAGUAGUGUGAAUUGCAGAAUUCAGUGAAUCAUCGAAUCUUUGAACGCACAUUGCGCCCCUUGGUAUUCCAUGGGGCAUGCCUGUUCG